AUAAUACCCCACUGGUUAAGGUUGUCGGCUCGUCAAGACACCGUUCUGAAUCGGAAAUCACGUUCUUCUCCUUCGUUGGUUUAUUAAUUUUGUAACAUAGAAUAACAAUUGCACCAUAACCUUAACAUAGCCCCUCCUUAACACGUUUCUUCAUAGUUCUAGGAGCUUCGAUUGAGUAAGUUAGGAAUUUAUUAUUGCGAAAGUUGUGAAAAGAUACUCAUAUUUGGCAUUUGCGUGGGUGGGGGAUUAGGAUUAGGGUUUUGAUGGGUACUGAGAGGAAGAGGAAGGUGAGUUUGUUUGAUGUGGUUGACGACGGUGCGGCGAAGAUGGCGAAAUCAAAUGGCGCUAACAGCCUCGUUAACCGAUGGAACGGGAAACCCUAUUCGCAAAGGUACUGUGAGAUUUUGGAGAAGAGGAAGAGUCUCCCCGUUUGGCAGCAGAAGGAGGAGUUCUUGCAGGUUUUGAAAGAUAACCAGACUAUCAUUCUCGUUGGUGAGACUGGUAGUGGCAAAACCACUCAGAUCCCUCAGUUUGUCUUGGAAGCUGUUGAUAUAGAAACCCCAGAUAAACGCAGGAAGAUGAUGAUUGCUUGCACUCAGCCUCGUAGAGUGGCUGCAAUGUCUGUUUCCAGGCGUGUGGCAGAGGAGAUGGAUGUGAAUAUCGGAGAAGAGGUUGGUUACAGCAUCAGAUUUGAAGAUUGCAGUAGUGCAAGGACAGUUUUGAAGUAUCUCACUGAUGGUAUGCUUUUGAGAGAAGCAAUGACAGAUCCACUUUUGGAACGAUACAAGGUAAUUAUUCUUGAUGAAGCACAUGAAAGGACUUUGGCUACAGAUGUGCUAUUUGGCCUUCUUAAGGAAGUGCUUAAAAAUAGACCUGACUUGAAGUUGGUUGUUAUGAGUGCAACACUUGAAGCUGAAAAGUUCCAGGGUUAUUUUUAUGGGGCCCCUCUUAUGAAAGUUCCUGGAAGACUGCAUCCUGUGGAAAUCUUCUAUACUCAGGAACCAGAAAGGGAUUACUUGGAGGCUGCUAUUAGGACAGUGGUGCAGAUACACAUGUGUGAACCUUCUGGAGAUAUACUUGUUUUUCUCACUGGAGAGGAAGAGAUAGAAGAUGCAUGUCGCAAAAUAACAAAAGAAAUUUCAAAUAUGGGUGAUCAGGUGGGGCCUGUGAAAGUGGUACCCUUGUAUUCUACUCUUCCUCCAGCUAUGCAGCAGAAGAUUUUUGAGCCAGCGCCACCCCCACUUAAGGAGGGAGGACCUCCUGGAAGGAAGAUUGUGGUAUCAACAAACAUAGCCGAAACUUCCUUGACAAUUGAUGGUAUAGUCUAUGUUAUUGACCCUGGAUUUGCUAAGCAGAAGGUUUAUAACCCUCGAGUCCGUGUGGAGUCUUUGUUGGUGUCACCAAUAUCAAAGGCUAGUGCACACCAGAGAUCUGGACGUGCUGGAAGAACUCAGCCAGGAAAAUGUUUUAGACUUUAUACUGAAAGAAGUUUCAAUAAUGAUCUACAGCCACAGACCUAUCCUGAAAUUUUGAGAUCUAAUCUUGCCAACAUUGUUCUUACCUUGAAGAAACUGGGUAUAGAUGAUUUAGUGCAUUUUGAUUUUAUGGACCCUCCUGCCCCUGAGACCUUGAUGCGUGCAUUAGAAGUGUUGAAUUACUUGGGUGCACUGGAUGAUGACGGUAAUUUAACAAAGUUGGGUGAGAUUAUGAGUGAAUUUCCUUUGGACCCUCAAAUGUCAAAGAUGCUCGUUGUUAGUCCUGAAUUCAACUGUUCAAAUGAGAUUCUUUCCGUUUCUGCCAUGCUAUCAGUUUCUCAGUAUUCUCUCAUGAAGAAAAUGGUGUGGUCUCGCCUCUAUGCAUCUGCUGACCUUCCGUGGGCCUCCUCUGUGAUAAUAAUUUCUUUCUUUAGUACCCAAUUGCUUUGUCCGGCCUAGAGAGGCACAAAAAGCUGCGGAUGAAGCGAAAGCUAGGUUUGGACACAUUGAUGGAGAUCAUCUCACGCUCUUGAAUGUAUAUCACGCAUACAAGCAAAAUAACGAGGAUCCUUCUUGGUGCUAUGAUAACUUUGUUAAUCAUAGGGCGCUGAAAGCAGCUGAUAAUGUUAGACAACAACUAGUGCGUAUCAUGGCUCGGUUUAACCUCAAGUUAUGCAGCACUGACUUCAAUAGUCGUGACUACUAUGUCAACAUAAGAAAAGCAAUGCUAGCAGGAUAUUUCAUGCAGGUGGCUCAUUUGGAGCGGACAGGACAUUACUUGACAGUGAAAGACAACCAGGUGGUGCACUUGCAUCCAUCAAAUUGCCUGGACCACAAGCCUGAAUGGGUAAUAUAUAAUGAAUAUGUUCUUACCAGUCGGAAUUUUAUUCGGACUGUGACAGAUAUACGCGGGGAGUGGUUAGUGGAUAUAGCACCCCAUUACUAUGAUUUGUCUAAUUUUCCACAAUGUGAAGCGAAGCGUGUUCUUGAAAGGCUUUACAAGAAACGAGAAAAGGAAAAGGAGGAAGCCAGGAGUCUUAAAUGAAGUCCUACCAUCCACGCCUUUUUUGCCUUUGGAUUGGAAUUGGACGGGGAGUCUCUUUCAAUUUUACGCCAUAAUUGUGUUAUGGGAAAGUUCCCUGAUAUUACCGUCGAAGGACAUAUUGAUUGUUGGUAAUUUUAGUGAAAAAUAGGUCGAGUUCCUUGUACUAUUUGUUAGAGCAUUAGCAACAUGUUUUGUAUUCGACUUUGUGCUGUUGCACCCUCUGGGUAUUGACUAUCUGUGUUUCGUUUAGAUGCCUCAUCACUGCAUUAUCCUAGGGAUAUAUUAUGUUCUAUUUUUUUUUAAAAGGAUAUUAAAGCUCUGAAAAUAUUGUUAUUCUUUUAUUGUCAAAAUAAACUAAUGC